rnacentral:rRNA from 1 species
UUUUAACGGAGAGUUUGAUCCUGGCUCAGGACGAACGCUGGCGGCGUGCUUAACACAUGCAAGUCGAACGCUGAAGCUGGGUGCUUGCACCUGGUGGAUGAGUGGCGAACGGGUGAGUAAUACGUGAGUGACCUUCCUUGGACUCUGGGAUAAGCCCGGGAAACUGGGUCUAAUACCGGAUACGACCAGUCCUCGCAUGGGGUGCUGGUGGAAAGGGUUUGUACUGGUUCUUGAUGGGCUCACGUCCUAUCAGCUUGUUGGUGAGGUAAUGGCUUACCAAGGCGACGACGGGUAGCCGGCCUGAGAGGGUGACCGGCCACACUGGGACUGAGACACGGCCCAGACUCCUACGGGAGGCAGCAGUGGGGAAUAUUGCACAAUGGGCGCAAGCCUGAUGCAGCGACGCCGCGUGGGGGAUGACGGCCUUCGGGUUGUAANNNNNNNNNNGUAAUACGUAGGGCGCAAGCGUUGUCCGGAAUUAUUGGGCGUAAAGAGCUCGUAGGCGGUUUGUCGCGUCUGCUGUGAAAGCCCGGGGCUCAACCCCGGGUGUGCAGUGGGUACGGGCAGGCUGGAGUGCAGUAGGGGAGACUGGAAUUCCUGGUGUAGCGGUGAAAUGCGCAGAUAUCAGGAGGAACACCGAUGGCGAAGGCAGGUCUCUGGGCUGUUACUGACGCUGAGGAGCGAAAGCAUGGGGAGCGAACAGGAUUAGAUACCCUGGUAGUCCAUGCCGUAAACGUUGGGCACUAGGUGUGGGGGACAUUCCACGUUUUCCGCGCCGUAGCUAACGCAUUAAGUGCCCCGCCUGGGGAGUACGGCCGCAAGGCUAAAACUCAAAGGAAUUGACGGGGGCCCGCACAAGCGGCGGAGCAUGCGGAUUAAUUCGAUGCAACGCGAAGAACCUUACCAAGGCUUGACAUACACCGGAUCGCAGCAGAGAUGUUGUUUCCCUUCGGGGCUGGUGUACAGGUGGUGCAUGGUUGUCGUCAGCUCGUGUCGUGAGAUGUUGGGUUAAGUCCCGCAACGAGCGCAACCCUCGUUCUAUGUUGCCAGCACGUUGUGGUGGGGACUCAUAGGAGACUGCCGGGGUCAACUCGGAGGAAGGUGGGGAUGACGUCAAAUCAUCAUGCCCCUUAUGUCUUGGGCUUCACGCAUGCUACAAUGGCCGGUACAAUGGGUUGCGAUACUGUGAGGUGGAGCUAAUCCCAAAAAGCCGGUCUCAGUUCGGAUUGGGGUCUGCAACUCGACCCCAUGAAGUCGGAGUCGCUAGUAAUCGCAGAUCAGCAACGCUGCGGUGAAUACGUUCCCGGGCCUUGUACACACCGCCCGUCAAGUCACGAAAGUUGGUAACACCCGAAGCCGAUGGCCCAACCCUUGUGGGGGGAGUCGUCGAAGGUGGGACUGGCGAUUGGGACUAAGUCGUAACAAGGUAGCCGUACCGGAAGGUGCGGCUGGAUCACCUCCUUUCUAAGGA